GCAGGCAGGGCAACUGGUAAGCCGCGAGGCCCAUAACCUCGAAGAACCGGGUUCGAUUCCCGGGCCUGCA
rnacentral:tRNA from 1 species